GCCUGCGUAGCUCAAUAUAGUAGAGCGCCCGAUUUGUCAUCGGGAAGAUGGUUGCUCACAGCGGCCCGCGGGCCCCA
rnacentral:tRNA from 1 species